rnacentral:tRNA from 1 species
AGGGGUAUAGCCAAGCGGUAAGGCAACCGACUGUUAAUCGGUGAGCACAGGUUCGAAUCCUGUUUCCCCUG